rnacentral:tRNA from 1 species
UGUUCUGUGGCUCAAUAGGUAAAAGCGCCGGUCUAGCGAAUACGGAGUAGUGGGUUCGAUUCUCACCAGAACGC